CAAUACCAUGCACUUCUCGGGUCGUCCAGUGACCAAAGGGUCGGCGGUUAGAAUCCUGGUUCUGACUAUCCACAUGUCAAAGUGUCCUUGGGCAAGACACUGA